rnacentral:misc_RNA from 1 species
GAUGAAGAACGUAGCGAAAUGCGAUAAGUAAUGUGAAUUGCAGAAUUCAGUGAAUCAUCGAAUCUUUGAACGCACCUUGCGCUCCUUGGUAUUCCGAGGAGCAUGCCUGUUUGAGUGUCAUUAAUAUAUCAACCUUCUCUUUUUUGAGUUGUUUGGAUGUGGGGGUUUGCUGGCCCCUUAAAUGAUUCAGCUCCCCUGAAAUGCAUUAGCAGAACAACCUGUUCAUUGGCGUGAUAAUUAUCUAUGCUAUUGAAUGUGAGGGCAGUUCAGCUUUCUAACCGUCCUUGGACAAUUCAUCAUUAAUGUGACCUCAAAUCAGGUAGGACUACCCGCUGAACUUAAGCAUAUCAAUAAGCGGAGGA